AGUGAACGCUGGCGGCGUGCCUAAUACAUGCAAGUCGAACGGCGUGGCGCACGGGUGAGUAAUAUAUAGCUAAUCUUCCCCUUGCUGGAGGACAACAUCUAGAAAUGCCUGCUAAUACCCCAUAGCGAGGGAUGAGACUAUAUCGUAUCAGCUAGUCGGUGGGGUAACGGCCCACCGAGGCUAUGACGCGUAACUGGAGUGAGAGGAUGGUCAGUGACAUUGGAACUGAGACACGGUUGAAACGCCUACGGGAGGAGGCAGGAGAGAGUAGGGCGCAAUGGGGGAAACCCUGGAGCAGCUACGCGGCGUGGAGGAUGGCACUAUUCGGAGAGUAAACUCCUUUUGUUAGGGAAGCGGUACCUAACGAAUAAGCAGCGGCUAACUCAGUGCCAGCAGCCGCGGUAAUAC
rnacentral:rRNA from 1 species